CUUUGUGUAGGCAGCAUUAUGGGAGAACAGAGACCAUUUGCAGUGAUGAAAGUAAGUAGGACCUCCCUGAUCGCCCUAGUAAAUAUCUCAUGCGUCAUGUCCAAAAAGAAUGUCAAGUGUGGAACGAGGAGAAAUGCUAAGCUUGCAAAUAGAUACAAUGUGUAGAGAUCUUGGCUCUCAAGAUAUGAUAGGUCUAGUAUUUUCAUACCAGGAGCAGAAACACGUGAAACACGAAAGCAAUGUGACAGUGUGAAGAUCUUAAGCGACAGUAUGAAACAUGUGGUCUUAUCAUUGUGGUGUAAUUAGCUUAUAACACUCAUGGAUUAUUGUACAUGCAUUCGAUCAUGGAAGGUUAUUUUCAGGUA